GACGUAGGGCGCGAGCGUUGUCCGGAUUUAUUGGGCGUAAAGAGCUCGUAGGCGGCUUGUCGCGUCGGCUGUGAAAACUCGAGGCUCAACCUCGAGACGCCGAUGGAAACCGUCUGGCUAGAGUCCGGAAGAGGAGAGUGGAAUUCCUGGUGUAGCGGUGAAAUGCGCAGAUAUCAGGAAGAACACCCGUGGCUAAGGCGGCUCUCUAGUACGGUACUGACGCUGAGGUGCGAAAGCGUGGGGAGCAAACAGG
rnacentral:rRNA from 1 species